rnacentral:rRNA from 1 species
AUUGAACGCUGGCGGCGUGCUUAACACAUGCAAGUCGAUCGGUAGCGCGGGGCAACCUGGCGACGAGAGGCGGACGGGUGAGUAACGCUUGGGAAUCUGCCUAUUAGUGGGGGACAACCCGGGGAAACUCGGGCUAAUACCGCAUACGCUACACGGAGGAAAGCAGGGGAUCGCAAGACCUUGCGCUAAUAGAUGAGCCCAAGUCGGAUAAGCUAGUUGGUAGGGGAACGGCCUACCAAGGCGACGAUCCGUAGCUGGUCUGAGAGGACGACCAGCCACACUGGGACUGAGACACGGCCCAGACUCCUACGGGAGGCGGCGGUGGGGAAUAUUGGACAAUGGGGGAAACCCUGAUCCAGCGACGCCGCGUGGGUGAAGAAGGCCUGCGGGUUGUAAAGCCCUUUCGGUAGGGAAGAAAAGCCUCGACCUAACACGUCGGGGUAUUGACGUAACCUACAAAAGAAGCACCGGCUAACUCUGUGCCAGCAGCCGCGGUAA